rnacentral:rRNA from 1 species
GAUGAACGCUGGCGGCGUGCCUAAUACAUGCAAGUCGAGCGAACGGACGAGAAGCUUGCUUCUCUGAUGUUAGCGGCGGACGGGUGAGUAACACGUGGAUAACCUACCUAUAAGACUGGGAUAACUUCGGGAAACCGGAGCUAAUACCGGAUGAUAUUUUGAACCGCAUGGUUCAAAAGUGAAAGACGGUCUUGCUGUCACUUAUAGAUGGAUCCGCGCUGCAUUAGCUAGUUGGUAAGGUAACGGCUUACCAAGGCAACGAUGCAUAGCCGACCUGAGAGGGUGAUCGGCCACACUGGAACUGAGGCACGGUCCAGACUCCUACGGGAGGCAGCAGUAGGGAAUCGUCCGCAAUGGGCGAAAGCCUGACGGAGCAACGCCGCGUGAGUGAUGAAGGUCUUCGGAUCGUAAAACUCUGUUAUUAGGGAAGAACAUAUGUGUAAGUAACUGUGCACAUCUUGACGGUACCUAAUCAGAAAGCCACGGCUAACUACGUG